CAGCCGCCGCGGUAAUACGGAGGGCGCGAGCGUUGUCCGGAUUCACUGGGCGUAAAGCGUGCGCAGGCGGCCCGUUAAGACAGGUGUGAAAUCCCUGGGCUCAACCUAGGAAUUGCGCUUGUGACUGGCGGGCUCGAGUACGGUAGAGGGGGGUGGAAUUCCUGGUGUAGCAGUGAAAUGCGUAGAGAUCAGGAGGAACACCGAUGGCGAAGGCAGCCCCCUGGGCCUGUACUGACGCUCAUGCACGAAAGCGUGGGGAGCAAACAGGAUUAGAUACCCUGGUAGUCCACGCCCUAAACGAUGGGUACUAGCCGUUUGGUGCGCGACAGCGCUGAGUGGCGAAGCUAACGCGUGAAGUACCCCGCCUGGGGAGUACGGCCGCAAGGUUGAAACUUAAAGGAAUUGGCGGG
rnacentral:rRNA from 1 species